GCUUCAAUCUCCAUGGAUGAAAGACACUAUGUAAAUGCAAAAUAAUUACCUUAUUGCACUGGGUAUGCACGUCUUCCAUCAACUGACUUGGAAUAAGAACAGUCCUGUCUUCCCUAACAUCUGAGCUGCACAUGGCUAAUAAGGGGUUCCUGCUGUGAAAAGCUGGAUUAGCACUUCAGCAAUCUCUGGCUCCAGAGACCUCACAUGCCACUCCUCGAAAGUGAACAUGGCCUCAUAGCACUGACCUCUCCAUCUGGGUCUAUGCAGUGCAACACGUUCCCAGGUUUUAAUGCCUAUCUUGCAUGCACUGAGGUUGGCCUUCAAGGUGUCUUUAUAUCUGAGGAUGGGUCGACCCUUAGAGCGAGUUCCCAUGCUCAGCUGGCUGCAGAGCAGCACUUUUAGUAUGCGGGACACGCCAUGUGGACCACAUGUCUCCCAGCGAAGUUGAGCCUGAUGAGCAUGCUGUCUAUGCUAGGAAUUUGGCACCUCUCUAAGACUUCAGUGUUGGGGGUCCUGUCCUGCCACUUGAUGUUGCAGAUGGAUCUUAGGCAGAGAAGGUGGAAGCUCUCCAGCUGUUUGAUGUGGCAUCGCUAGAGUGUCCAUGUCUUGCAGCUGUAGAGGAGUCAGAUGGACUCACUGAGGCACAAUACAGUUAACAUGGAUUGCUCAACCUCACACAGCAAGUCAGGACUGGUCCUGCAUCUCCUUACAGUAAGCAGUGUGCUGUGACCACCAUCUGAUGCUUCCUUUCAUGGACCCGUGUGCUGGAGAUUAUGCAAGCCCCUUCUCUCUCAGGGGGAAUGUAUGCUUUACUGGACAUGGCACUGGUCCCAUUAGCAGGGCUUUUAGUUAUUUUUACUGCUUGUGAA